rnacentral:tRNA from 1 species
AAAAAUUUAGUUAAACAAUAACACUAACUUGUCAAGUUAGAAUUAUUUACCUAAAUAAUUUUUA